UGGGGAAUAUUGGACAAUGGGUGAGAGCCUGAUCCAGCCAUGCCGCGUGCAGGAAGAAGGCGUUAUGCGUUGUAAACUGCUUUUGCCAGGGGAUAAAAAGACCGUGCGCGGUUAAUUGAAGGUACCUGGUGAAUAAGCCACGGCUAACUACGUGCCAGCAGCCGCGGUAAUACGUAGGUGGCAAGCGUUGUCCGGAUUUAUUGGGUUUAAAGGGUGCGUAGGUGGCCCUGUAAGUCAGUGGUGAAAUAUCUCAGCUUAACUGAGAGGGUGCCAUUGAUACUGCAGGGCUUGAGUACAGAUGGGGUAGGCGGAAUUGACGGUGUAGCGGUGAAAUGCAUAGAUAUCGUCAAGAACACCGAUAGCGAAGGCAGUUUACCAAGCUGUAACUGACACUGAGGCACGAAAGUGUGGGGAUCAAACAGGAUUAGAUACCCCCGUAGUCCCUGAGCGGCUGGCAAGGCGCAU
rnacentral:rRNA from 1 species